GGAAAAGAAACACAUAAAUACUAUAAUAAAUGUAGCAACGUACCUUGCAGAAGAUCCAAAGGUUGCUUGUGGAAUUGGGCAAGGGAAUCUAAAUUUCCAGAGUUAGUAUGCAGUGGUGGAGAGAGGGUUGUCGGAAAUCUAAUGUUAAGUUUUAAAGCAGAGGAAACAGUGUGACUUGGUAUUUGAGGUGUGUGCGCGCAUUUUCUGUUUUCCUACCAGACUCUUCAGUUAUGUGCAAUUUCUUCUGUUCACUUAGUGUUUCUUAGGGUUGAAACUGAACAUAAACAAAUAUGAAAUUCGUGUUAUACUCACAUUACUCAACAUAUCAGGUAAUUUGUGAAGACAGAGAUGUUUCCUGAUCAAUUGUUCUAGCCGACUGACAGCCAAUAUCUACAUAGAAUUAUUUCAAAGUCGCAGGGUGCGGUGGCUCACGUCUGUAAUCCCAGCACUUUGGGAGGCCGAGUUGGGCGGAUCA
rnacentral:lncRNA from 10 species